CAACAACUUUCUCCACCAAGGAUCUCCUCAGCGGUAUUCUCCUCCGACUAGAAUCUCCUCGCUGUUCACCGCCAUUGUUCAUCUCCUCGCCGCUGCCUUCAAUGAGUUUCUACGAUCUUGUUCUGGCUUCGAUCUAAAGACUCUCGUCUUCAAUCCCAGCACGGCCAAGUCAAUCCACCACGCCAGGUCCUGAUCCGCCAGCGCCACAUUAGGUCUUCCU